UAAACGACUCUCGGCAACGGAUAUCUCGGCUCUCGCAUCGAUGAAGAACGUAGCAAAAUGCGAUACUUGGUGUGAAUUGCAGAAUCCCGUGAACCAUCGAGUCUUUGAACGCAAGUUGCGCCCGAAGCCUUUAGGCCGAGGGCACGUCUGCCUGGGCGUCACAC
rnacentral:rRNA from 1 species